UACCCCAGGGACUGGCUGCUGCAUGGGGACAAGUGCUACUGGCUGUCUAAGGAGCGUAAAGAUUGGACUGGGAGCCGUGACGACUGCUCGGGGAAGAGCUCUCGCAUGCUCGUGAUCCAGAACCGGGAGGAGAUGGAUUUCAUACAAGAUGUUGUACAAGAUGCAAACUACAUCUGGAUUGGCCUUAAAGUGACACCCCAGGGGGAAAUGGACCUGGGUGGACGGUUCCCCAUUAGAUCCAGUGCGGGACCCACAGUGACACGGACUCUCUCUCACUCUGCAGCUUCUCAGGCUCUGCAGAUGGGAACAGCUGCAGGUGGAUAAAAGGCAGCCAGGUUCUGUCUGAGACGUGUGCCAUGGAGCUCAA